AAUGAAGGAGAUGACGUCUUUCUUUGUGAAUACGAAUAUGAUAUCCAGCGGCAGAGUUUCAAGCGCCUUGCAGAUAUU